rnacentral:rRNA from 1 species
UGGGGAAUAUUGCGCAAUGGGGGGAACCCUGACGCAGCCAUGCCGCGUGAAUGAAGAAGGCCUUUGGGUUGUAAAGUUCUUUCGGUAUUGAGGAAGGUUGAUGUGUUAAUAGCACAUCAAAUUGACGUUAAAUACAGAAGAAGCACCGGCUAACUCCGUGCCAGCAGCCGCGGUAAUACGGAGGGUGCGAGCGUUAAUCGGAAUAACUGGGCGUAAAGGGCACGCAGGCGGUUAUUUAAGUGAGGUGUGAAAGCCCUGGGCUUAACCUAGGAAUUGCAUUUCAGACUGGGUAACUAGAGUACUUUAGGGAGGGGUAGAAUUCCACGUGUAGCGGUGAAAUGCGUAGAGAUGUGGAGGAAUACCGAAGGCGAAGGCAGCCCCUUGGGAAUGUACUGACGCUCAUGUGCGAAAGCGUGGGGAGCAAACAGGAUUAGAUACCCUGGUAGUCCACGCUGUAAACGCUGUCGAUUUGGGGAUUGGGCUUGGAGCUUGGUGCCCGUAGCUAACGUGAUAAAUCGACCGCCUGGGGAGUACGGCCGCAAGGUUA